GAUGAACGCUGGCGGCGUGCUUAACACAUGCAAGUCGAACGGAAAGGCCAGUGCUUGCACUGGUACUCGAGUGGCGAACGGGUGAGUAACACGUGGGUGAUCUGCCCUGUACUUCGGGAUAAGCUUGGGAAACUGGGUCUAAUACCGGAUAGGACAACUUUUUGGAUAUUGUUGUGGAAAGCUUUUGCGGUAUGGGAUGAGCUCGCGGCCUAUCAGCUUGUUGGUGGGGUAAUGGCCUACCAAGGCGUCGACGGGUAGCCGGCCUGAGGGGGUGUACGGCCACAUUGGGACUGAGAUACGGCCCAGACUCCUACGGGAGGCAGCAGUGGGGAAUAUUGCACAAUGGGCGCAAGCCUGAUGCAGCGACGCCGCGUGGGGGAUGAAGGCCUUCGGGUUGUAAACUCCUUUCGCUAGGGACGAAGCUUUUUUGUGACGGUACCUGGAGAAGAAGCACCGGCUAACUACGUG
rnacentral:rRNA from 1 species